GAGACGCCAAAGGAGCCUGAAGUGCCACACCCCGUGGUGCCGGAGACGCCAAAGGAGCCUGAAGUGUCACACCCCGUUGUGCCGGAGGUACCAAAGCAUGAGCUGCCGCCACACCCUGCUAUGCCCGAGCUCCCGAAGCCUGAAUUACCUCAUCCAGCUGUGCCCGAGGUGCCACACCCCAUUGUGCCGGAGACGCCAAAGGAGCCUGAAGUGCCACACCCCAUGGUGCCGGAGGUGCCAAAGCAUGAGCUGCCGCCGCACCCUGCUAUGCCCGAGCUCCCGAAGCCUGAAUUGCCUCAUCCAGCUGUGCCCGAGGUGCCAAAGGAGCACGAACUGCCGCACCCUAUCGCGCCAGAGGUGCCAAAGGAGCCUGAAGUGCCACACCCCGUUGUGCCGGAGGUACCAAAGGAGCACGAGCUGCCGCACCCUGCCAUGCCAGAGUUGCCGAAGCCUGAAAUGCCACACCAUGUCGUGCCAGAGAUACAAAAGGAGCCCCCUGUGUCGCACCCUGAGGUGCCGAAAGAACCCCAGGUACCACACCCUGCCGUGCCAGAGGUCCCAAAGCACGAAAUGCCGCCGUUCCCUAUAUCCGAGCUGCCCCCAAAGCCAGAGGCCAAGCCAUGAUCGGACUAGGUACAUCCGCGUUGUGUGUGUGGGUGUAUGGGUGUCUGUGAUUGUUGUAGUAUACACUGUGGUGUUGCAUGGUGCACCUGCUCAAUCUUUUCCCUUCUUCCCUUUACGUGUAUACACGAUGAAUAUGAUAUAUAUGUACAUGUGAAUGUGUAUGUUCUCGUGUUUGGAGUUUAUUUAUAUUGGAUCAGAUUUGUGUUUGGAUUUACCUAAUACAUAUGCGCAUCAAUAAAGGAGUUUAUUUUAUAUUCGUUUGGAUUUGUGUUUGGAUUUUACAUAUGUACAGUCUUAUAUUUUGGCUAUAUUAUGCACCCAGUAAAAGUCUCAUUUUUUUGCUGACAAAAUUUUCUUUUUUUGGGGGGGGGGGUUGUACAGAGAAGGCAUGAAAGACCAGGUUUCAUGUGAAGCAUAAUAAGAUAACAGUGAAUUUCAGUUUUACCCCCUAUUUUAACAGUUUUGACACUAAUUAUCUCACUUAAUGAGAUUUCAUUCUUUUACCCCAUUUAGCAAAAGUUCUGUCACGAUUUACCCUGUUUAAAACUUUGGGUUUGUUUAUUUGUGCUUCCUUAGGCAUGACUUUGAUUUUUAUGACUUUUUAAAAUAGGCUUUCGUGUCGUUUUAUAAAUAAAGCAACCAGUGCACGGCGAGAAGUACCACAUCAAACGUCAAAGUAUGUUGGGGCCACAACACAAGCACGUCCAAAUAUAACAAAAAAAGAUAUCAUAAAAAGGGCCACCAAGUGGUCAAAGCAUCCUGGAGGUGCCGGAGCAGCAAGUCGACGUGUCGUACCCUGAAGUGCAACCAACAUCCGGCCUAGCCGUGCCUGAUUCCUCUGCAUAGUCAAUGGGUGUGAGUGCUCCAAGAACGCAAAAUUUUUGAAGAAAACCUAAAAAGCGCGUCAUAGGAAAAGAUCCUCUCAAUCACCACCUUAUUUCGCAUGUUCCAAAAAGUCCAUGCCGGAUCAACAAAAAUCAGCCAGAAGAGGCGUUUAUGGCUGCCAGGCUACAUCGCUCUGGCCUGAAGGAAGUCGGCUAAAAUAUGUCGCCCACUGUGGCCCUAGGGCCUCGCGAAGAAAACCCCAUAGUGACUUAGCCCUCGUGCAGAAGAAGAGGGUGUGAAUCCCGUUUUCCAAGACAUCAUACAAGUGGCAUAGCCCAUUACCCGGGUCAUGUCUCUUGAGCACCUUUGUUCCUGACGGGAGGCGAUCCCGCAAAAGUUGCCAAACGAAAAAAUUCAUUUUCAAAGGUAGAGGCACCUUUCAGAGAGGCGUCAUCCAUCGGAUACGAGGCUCCGACAUAGUGCAUGAUAAGCCGUGACCAUGAAGAAACCUCCCGAUGGAGAGAGUAGCCACCGUGUCUGAUCUAGGCCACUGCACAUCGGAGGAGGAAGAACGGCCAAUAGAUUAGACCACUCAAGAACCUCAGCAUGGCCUAGUGAGCAUCAGAACAGGAUGUUCCAUUGUCCAUCUUGGACUGAUUCUAAAACCCGGAGCAAAGAGUCCACACACAUAGCAAAUAACUGAAGGAACCCAUGCACAAUGGGGUUCCAUCAACCCAUAGAACAGGGGUCAAGUGUAUGCUCAUUUAAUUGAUUGAUCCAUCAACCCAUGGUUUUUUUAACUUUGCUAUUUGCCGGCAAAAAAAGGAUUACGUCCGUUGAUGUUAGUUGUGUGCAUUCUAACUAUAUUAAAGCCAGAUGUAUGCUCAUUUAAUUGUAUUCGCUUCAUGUUUCAUUUUAAAUAAUAAAAUCCACAUUUUGCUGAGAAAAAAAAACUAAGUCAAUAAUAACUUCGUCAUAGGUGAUGUGUCUUUGACAUGCAAGUCUUCACUACAUCGUACCCCCAAGAAAAGGACACGACACGGCGUUGCGUACGGCACCAACCAGCUUAAUCUGCUGAUUGUGAUAUACUAAAGGAAAAUGGUUUGUUGAUCUGUUGUCAGUAUCUUUCCCACCUAACAUGCAGCAAGUCGUUUUCUGCUCAACUUGCAACCGAGCAACCGCCUUACAGAUAGACACGUCGUCCCACACUUCUCUCACUGUGUCUGCGCUGGUGUUGCUGGCAAGUGACAAGAGACCCCUGAAUCGAACUUCCUCCACCGUGCUGGCGAUCGACCUAACACCGGUACGACGCCUACGGAAACCGCGUGCCGGCCUGCGGCCGGUGACCAGCUGCAUGACACCACGCAUCGGCCGGACGAUCGACGUUCCUACGCGACCGCGUGGGCGCGCGCGCGAUUCAUCCACCAGCCUUUACGGGUGCCCGACCUGCUUCCAUCAGGGGAUGAACUGCUAGCAGGCUCUCGCCGAAUCUCACGCAACCGAUCAUUAAAGGAUAGCGAAAACGACCGGGGCUAGCUAGCUGCAGUUGAACUGCCGAUCAUUAGCAAUUGACACCCAGAAGCAACAGGUGUAACAUUUUUGGUGCGCCAGUGACCUGUCACCGCGGUACGGCGACGGACGCUCAUACGCGAACGCGUGCGCGCGCAAUUCGUCAACUCUGACUCAUGUAUGGCAUCUUCAGCAGAUCAGCCGGAUCGACGAGAUAGGUGCACCUGAGCUGCCGAAACCACCGACCUAUACCUAUUACCAUUUGUACUAUUAAAAGAACGAGAGGACAAAUUCAACUACAGAUCUGGACCGUCUGAUUACACCAUCAAAGACCUAAAAACGUCAUUAACAAAACUAGAUAGCUUUCGUUAAUGCUAAUUGCUCACCCCACGUCGUCUCCCGGUCAAUCGCCCCGCUCGCCCGCCUCGCCCAGGUUGCCCGCCCCCGCCCGCAUUGCUCGCUCGUCCAGCCUCUCCGAUUGCGCUCAUCCGCGCUCCAUCAAACCCAGUCAACCAAAUGGCGGCGGCCGGGCUCGCGCUCUCCCNNNNNNNNNNNNNNNNNNNNNNNNNNNNNNNNNNNNNNNNNNNNNNNNNNNNNNNNNNNNNNNNNNNNNNNNNNNNNNNNNNNNNNNNNNNNNNNNNNNNNNNNNNNNNNNNNNNNNNNNNNNNNNNNNNNNNNNNNNNNNNNNNNNNNNNNNNNNNNNNNNNNNNNNNNNNNNNNNNNNNNNNNNNNNNNNNNNNNNNNNNNNNNNNNNNNNNNNNNNNNNNNNNNNNNNNNNNNNNNNNNNNNNNNNNNNNNNNNNNNNNNNNNNNNNNNNNNNNNNNNNNNNNNCCACCUCACGCCGAUGCUGGCCUACCGCUGCCUCGUCCGGGAGGACGACCGCGAGGCGCCCAGCUUCCUCUUCGAGUCCGUCGAGCAGGCAUCCGAGGGCACCAACGUGGUUCGUCCCUGCCUUUGCCCGUACAGCCUCACGAUUCGCUGAUUCGUUAUCCGUUCAUAUCCUCCCCAAGACGAAAUCAGAAUCAUUUGAAUUUGUCCCGUGCCGGGUUGUUGGUUGGUCUGCAAUCUACAGGGGAGGUACAGCGUGUUGGUGGCGCAGCCGGCAAUGGAGAUCGUGGCCAAGGCCAACCGCGUGACGGUCAUGGACCACGAGACGAGGACCAAGAAGGAGCAAAACCGCGAUUUGUUGAUUCUUCACUGUCAAUGAAUAUCAUAUGUCAUCCUUGCAUUCAAUUGGUAAGUUUUGUUGUCAGUUUUUUUUUGCAGAUCAAUAUGGCAUUUCCUUUUGUCAGUCUUCAUAGUUUCUCAAGAUAGUUACCAUUGAAGUUUGACAAUCGCAUCUUCUCAUUUUUUUUGGAUGAUACUUGAUUUUUUUAAUAGUUCUUCGCUUAAUUUUGUUGAUACGGAAACAAUUCUUAUCUGAAUGCUACUUUGUUUAUAUGUGUACGCAGAAUUAACAUGUACCUUUUAAAUGGUCCAUUAUCCCACUAGGGGAAUCUAAUUUCUGACUGGAUUAUAUUGUAAUACUAAUAUAAUUAAAAAAUCAAAUGGUUGUAUAUUUGACCCGACUUUCAUUGUUCGAAGCUAGCCUGGAGAAUUUGCUCACAUACUGAAAUUUAUUUACAAUGCUUUAUAAUUGUUUGGGCACUACGCAUUGGGGAAGUGUGCAUUUCGAUAAGAGAUUAUAUAAUUGAUGCAAAGAUGUGUGAUAUUUGUUUUAAAAGGAAUGUUUAUUUAUGAAGAGUGAUGUUUCAAAUUAUUUGCACGAGGAAAAAAUUAGGUACUAUGCACUUCGUGUGAAAGUUCAAGAAAUGAAUGAUAUAGUUGGCUAGAAUUUGUUAGGUUUUAUAUAAGAUGUGUUAACAAGACGUGCGUUGUACGUACACUUUACUAGUCAUCCAAAAAGCACUUGCCUUCAGGUUCGCUGUAGGUUGUGUAGCAUGCAUUCAUACGAGUACAUUUUGCACGACAGGUUUUGGUACAAUCUUGGAGCCUUCUUGUAUAGCACAGUCAACAAACAAUUAGAACCUGAAAUGUUGAUUGGUUCCAGUCCGUCAGAUAGUCUGAUCUAGCAGUAUCAUAUGUUGUUCUUGUACACUAUAUUUCUUAUUCCUUUGUUCUUUUUGGGCCCUAAUUUUCUCCUCUCUUUCAUGUACAUAUUGCAACGAUUGUUACACAACUUAUGAAAAAUACUCCGUGAGAAGAAAUUCCUACAGGUUUGGGUAAAAAAUUAGAGAAAUGUAUCACCGACCAUAUCAUGUCAUGACACUUGUCUCCUCAACAUUCCAAACAAAUUUAACCACACAUAACUAGAGAUGGAUAGGCAGAGAUCGAGCACACACAAAUCCAAAGUGAGUAAACAACCACCGAGAUGCAGGUGACCUACCACGCCACCAAGACAACAAAGUUCAGCCACAUCACUACUAUAGUUUCUACCGCAAACAUAUGCAUGCAUGUUUUCCCGCUGCAUGUAGGUGUAGCGUUUUGGACUAUAUAUACCAGCCUUCUCGUAUCUCCAAGACAUCACAGCAAGAAGUUGCCUCUCUCUGAUCGAUGCACAUAAACAAGAACAUCAUGCUGCGCAACAACGCCAUGGCCUCCUUUGUCUUCCUCGUGGCUCUGCUGCUCUCAUGCAGCUCCAUGAGCAGUGCAGCACGACACCUAGAGGAGGCUGUGCCCGAGAAGGAGUAUCCACCACAUCCGAUCGUCCCGGAGCUGCCAAAGCCCGAACUCCCGCCGCACCCCGUCAUGCCCGAGCUGCCAAAGCCUGAACUACCUCACCCUCUCGUGCCCGAAGUGCCACACCCUGUGAUGCCGGAAGCGCCAAAGGAGCCCGAAGUGCCACACCCCGUGGUGCCGGAGACGCCAAAGGAUGAGCUGCCGCCACACCCUGCUAUGCCCGAGCUCCCGAAGCCUGAACUACCGCAUUUGGCUGUGCCCAAGGUGCCGGAGACGCCAAAGGAGCCUGAAGUGCCACACCCCAUGGCGCCGGAGGUGCCAAAGCAUGAGCUGCCGCCGCACCCUGCUAUGCCCGAGCCCCCGAAGCCUGAAUUACCUCAUCCAGCUGUGCCCGAGGUGCCAAAGGAACACGAUUUACCACACCAUGUCGUGCCGGAGGUGCCAAAGGAGCCUGAAGUGCCACACCCCGUCAUGCCGGAGGUACCAAAGGAGCACGAGCUGCCGCACCCUGCCAUGCCAGAGUU
rnacentral:lncRNA from 1 species